GAUGAACGCUGGCGGCGUGCCUAAUACAUGCAAGUCGAGCGAACAGACGAGGAGCUUGCUCCUCUGACGUUAGCGGCGGACGGGUGAGUAACACGUGGAUAACCUACCUAUAAGACUGGGAUAACUUCGGGAAACCGGAGCUAAUACCGGAUAACAUGUUGAACCGCAUGGUUCAACAGUGAAAGACGGUCUUGCUGUCACUUAUAGAUGGAUCCGCGCCGCAUUAGCUAGUUGGUAAGGUAACGGCUUACCAAGGCAACGAUGCGUAGCCGACCUGAGAGGGUGGUGGGCCACACUGGAACUGAGACACGGUCCAGACUCCUACGGGAGGCAGCAGUAGGGAAUCUUCCGCAAUGGGCGAAAGCCUGACGGAGCAACGCCGCGUGAGUGAAGAAGGUCUUCGGAUCGUAAAACUCUGUUAUGAGGGAAGAACAAAUGUGUAAGUAACUAUGCACGUCUUGACGGUACCUAAUCAGAAAGCCACGGCUAUCUACGCU
rnacentral:rRNA from 1 species